CUUCUUGGACUCCACCUCCAGGACAGUCCUAUCUUUGGCCUCCCCUUCAAGGUCACUUCUUACUUAAAAGAGUAGUUUGCACUGGCUGCCUCCUGAGUCCUCACCUCCCACUCACUCUUUUUUUUUUUUUUUUUUUUACUUUAAUUUGGCUUCCAAGUCCAUCAAACCAAAGAGAUGUUUGUCAGUAAGUCACCAUUGAUUUCCUUGUUGCUCCUUUCAAUGGCCAUUUCUUGGUCCUUGUCGAAUCCGCAGCAUUCACAGCUCCAGGGGCUGGACCACCGGCGAUCACUGCCCUCAGAAAAACUGCUGGAGAGUCUGCCACACUCCUCUCCUCGCCCACUUUCCCGGAUCCUCUGUGAGUUCUCUUUCUCCAGCAAUUCCCCAAACGUUGGUCUUUCUCAAAGCCCAAUGUUCGACUUCUUCCUUCUUUCCAUCAGCAUUCUUUCCCUCGGCAAAUUCACCCACUUUCCUAGCACCCAUCCAUAAGGUGGCCACACGUCCCAGGUUGCCCCAAACGGUUCUGGUUUAGCCUAGUUUUCCCAGCAUAAUAGAUACCCUGUCCCCACCCCUCCACCCCACAUCCCAGUUUAGAUGCAAACAAAAUAUGUGGUCCCCUUAUCUAUUACCAUUCGUAUGCAGAUGGCUCCGACUGGAGGCCAUAAAGCAGUGAGGCUGAGGGGGUGGGCCCUGCAGCCAGCCCCCGGGGUUUCUAUCCGGCUCCACUAGUCACCAGCCUCUGGGCCCCUGGGCGGGUUAAGCACUUCAGAUUCCUCCUCCACAAAAUGGGAACUACCCUAGGGAUUUCUCAAGAGGCGAGGGUUAAAUGAACAGAUCUAAAAUCAUCAGCAUGAGGUCUGCCACGUUUUUAAGUGUUCAAUAAAUUUAGCUAGCCAGGACAUGUCUCCUGAGUUCCAGACAUACCCAGCAAAGUUCUUCAAUAAACCAAGCAGACUUUUUAUGAUAAUCUAUUCAGUAUAUGAAGUUCUUUUGCAAAUGACAUAGAAUGCCAGAGGAGUGUUGAACCUGUGAUUAGACUCCUUUCUCGGCUGUCCAUCAGAGUACCGGGUUGGAGAGAGAGCUCCGAGCCUGGGCUACAAGGCAGACAAGUUCACCUCUGGGUGCUGCUACGUUGGUGAGAGAGCCUCAGGGGAAAGGAUGCCAUUUCCGGUGGCAUCUGGGGCAAAUGACCGGAGUCAGCAUUUAUUCUCUCGCAUUAGGAAGCGGAAGCCUAAUGACCGAAGUUUUAGACAUUGGUAAAUAUGAAACACAAAUUGAUGGUGAAACUGAGGCUCCCAGAAAGCUUCACGGAGCAGUGCAGGGACUUGGAGCCCUUCUGACCAGUGUCAUCUUCCCUGCCCUCUCGGUGGGAGGCCAGACAGGGCCUACUGCCAUUACGUCAUUCUUAAAUUAUUUUGCUUAUUUUUAGAAGGCUUUUAAUGCACAUGGCACAAAACUUCAAAAGGUACAAGGGGUAUGAGCGAGAAGUACGCCCCCUUCCCUUUCUUGUUCCCUAAUCCCUCAUUUUUCCCUCUAGAACAGCGGUUCUCAACCUGUGGGUCGCGACCCCUU